ensembl:rRNA 5S_rRNA 5S ribosomal RNA
UGCUACGGCCAUACCACCCUGAACAAGCCCCAUCCCGCUUGAUCUCGUAAGCUAAGCACGGUCAAGCCUGGUUAGUACUUGGAUGGGAGACCGCCUAGGAAGACCAGGUGCUGUAGGCG